CCUACGGGUGGCUGCGGUGGGGAAUAUUGGACAAUGGGCGAAAGCCUGAUCCAGCCAUGCCGCGUGUGUGAAGAAGGCCUUCGGGUUGUAAAGCACUUUCAGUGGGGAAGAAAGCCUUGGGGCUAAUACCCUCGAGGAAGGACAUCACCCACAGAAGAAGCACCGGCUAACUCCGUGCCAGCAGCCGCGGUAAUACGGAGGGUGCGAGCGUUAAUCGGAAUUACUGGGCGUAAAGCGCGCGUAGGCGGUCUGAUAAGCCGGUUGUGAAAGCCCCGGGCUCAACCUGGGAACGGCAUCCGGAACUGUCAGGCUAGAGUGCAGGAGAGGAAGGUAGAAUUCCCGGUGUAGCGGUGAAAUGCGUAGAGAUCGGGAGGAAUACCAGUGGCGAAGGCGGUCUUCUGGACUGACACUGACGCUGAGGUGCGAAAGCGUGGGUAGCAAACAGGAUUAGAUACCCUAGUAGUC
rnacentral:rRNA from 1 species